rnacentral:rRNA from 1 species
CUACGGGGUGCUCCAGUGAGGAAUAUUGCACAAUGGGGGGAGCCCUGAUGCAGCAACGCCGCGUGGAGGAUGACGCAUUUCGGUGUGUAAACUCCUUUUAUAUGUCAAGAAAAUGACGGUAGCAUAUGAAUAAGCACCGGCUAACUCCGUGCCAGCAGCCGCGGUAAUACGGAGGGUGCUAGCGUUACUCGGAAUCACUGGGCGUAAAGGACGCGUAGGCGGGUUGGAAAGUCAGGUGUGAAAUCCUACAGCUUAACUGUAGAACUGCACUUGAAACUUCUAAUCUAGAGUAUGGGAGGGGGAGAUGGAAUUAGUGGUGUAGGGGUAAUAUCCGUAGAUAUCACUAGGAAUACCUAAAGCGAAGGCGAUCUCCUGGAACAUUACUGACGCUAAGGCGUGAAAGCGUGGGGAGCAAACAGGAUUAGAUACCCGUGUAGUC